GACGUAGGGCGCGAGCGUUGUCCGGAUUUAUUGGGCGUAAAGAGCUCGUAGGCGGUCUGUCGCGUCUGCUGUGAAAACUCAGGGCUUAACCCUGAGCUUGCAGUGGGUACGGGCAGACUAGAGUGGCGGUAGGGGAGACUGGAAUUCCUGGUGUAGCGGUGAAAUGCGCAGAUAUCAGGAGGAACACCGGUGGCGAAGGCGGGUCUCUGGGCCGUAACUGACGCU
rnacentral:rRNA from 1 species